ACAACAAAAAAAAAAAAAGAUCCUGGUACUAAUAGGGAAGUAAAAGUCGUAACAAGGUUUUCCGUAGGUGAACCUGCGGAUUCUUGGUCAAAUUAGAGGAAGUAAAAGUCGUAACAAGGUCUCCGUUGGUGAACCAGCGGAGGGAUCAUUA
rnacentral:rRNA from 1 species